rnacentral:rRNA from 1 species
GACGAACGCUGGCGGCGUGCCUAAUACAUGCAAGUAGAACGCACAGUUUAUACCGUAGCUUGCUACACCAUAGACUGUGAGUUGCGAACGGGUGAGUAACGCGUAGGUAACCUUCCUGGUAGCGGGGGAUAACUAUUGGAAACGAUAGCUAAUACCGCAUAAUAUUGAUUAUUGCAUGAUAAUUAAUUGAAAGGUGCAAUUGCACCACUACCAUAUGGACCUGCGUUGUAUUAGCUAGUAGGUGAGGUAACGGCUCACCUAGGCGACGAUACAUAGCCGACCUGAGAGGGUGAUCGGCCAAACUGGGAAUGAGACAAGGCCCAGACUCCUACGGGAGGCAGCAGUAGGGAAUCUUCGGCAAUGGACGAAAGUCUGACCGAGCAACGCCGCGGGAGUGAAGAAGGUUUUCGGAUCGUAAAGCUCUGUUGUAAGAGAAGAAAGGGUGUGAGAGUGGAAAGUUCACACUGUGACGGUAUCUAACCAGAAAGGGACGGCUAACUACGUG